rnacentral:rRNA from 1 species
GAUAUUCUUUAAACGGUUGCUAUUGAUGGUAGUACUAAGGUAGCGUAGUAAUUUGUCCCUUAAUUGGGGAACGGUAUGAAUGGUUUAACGCGAGACCAACUGUCUCACACUCAAAGGUCGAAGUUUUCGUUUAAGUGAAAAGACUUAGGUAUAUUUAAAAGACGAGAAGACCCUUUCGAGCUUACUGAAAUUAAAUUCCUUUCGUGUUUUUUUGAAUUUUUGUUGGGGCAAUAGAAAGGAAGUAUAACCCUUUUCUCUUCCGUAUAGAUCCCUUAUUAAGGAAUUUAGAAAAAGCUACCGUAGGGAUAACAGCGUUA